AACAUUUUCUUACUUUUACUUUUAUAUAGAGUCUACUUUUUCAAGUUAUUCGGGGUGAGCAACUUUAUUCUAUAAACAUUUUACAGUUAUAAUUUUAUUUCUAACAUGUUGUUGAUGAAACUCUGAUAAACUCUGAUUUAUUUUUCAAUAGAACAAAAAAAAAGAAAUCUUGGACAAACAGAUUUCUAAAAAAUGUGAGGACCUGAUGAAGACUGGCAUUGAACAAAAUACAAAUACCUGGGCUAGAGAUGGACUUUGGGGUCAAGUUUGUACCGGACUUGGCAUUCCAAACACAAAAAUCCAUCGAAUAAGACUUCAAGUAGCACAUCAAUCAUUUAAAAAGCACACAUCUCCAUCAUCUCCAUCGCCACAGGCUAGUGGAAUAGAUGAGCCUGGAGAACAGUAUUCUGAGCACACAUCACCAGGGUCCCUAUCGCCACAGGCUAGUGGAGCAGAUGAACCUGGAUAAGAGUAUUCUGAGCACACAUCGCCAUCAUCUCCAUCGCCACAGGC
rnacentral:lncRNA from 1 species